CCCCUAGAUGUUCUGGGCCGCACGCGCGCUACACUGAACAGUUCAACAAGUCUUAACCUUGGCCGAUAGGUCUGGGUAAUCUUUGAACGCUGUUCGUGAUUGGGAUAGACCUUUGCAAUUAUGGGUCUUCAACGAGGAAUUCCUAGUAAACGCAAGUCAUCAGCUUGCAUUGAUUACGUCCCUGCCCUUUGUACACACCGCCCGUCGCACCUACCGAUUGAAUGGUCCGGUGAAGCCUCCGGAUUGGCGCGCACCUCGGUGCCGCCGAGAAGUUGGCUAAACCUUACCAUUUAGAGGAAGGUGAGGUCGUAACA
rnacentral:rRNA from 1 species